UUGCAAGGAUAGGUUCCUGGGUUAGUGGUUCUGUGAUGGUGUGUGUAUUUGCUGGUGAGUACUUGCUUCAGGUUGAGGGAGCUACCUGUAAGCGGGGACUGGCCUGCCCCCCAAGGUCUGUGAGCAUGAGGGAUCAUUUUCCAGGAUAGGUUGUAGGUCAUUGAUGAUGUGCUGGAGCGGUUUUAGCUGGGGUCUGUACGUGAUGGCCAGUGGUGGUGUGUUUAUUUUCCUUGUUGGGCCUGUCCUGU